AUUGAACGCUGGCGGCAGGCCUAACACAUGCAAGUCGAGCGGAUGAAGGGAGCUUGCUCCCUGAUUUAGCGGCGGACGGGUGAGUAAUGCCUAGGAAUCUGCCUGGUAGUGGGGGAUAACGUUCCGAAAGGAACGCUAAUACCGCAUACGUCCUACGGGAGAAAGCAGGGGACCUUCGGGCCUUGCGCUAUCAGAUGAGCCUAGGUCGGAUUAGCUAGUUGGUGAGGUAAAGGCUCACCAAGGCGACGAUCCGUAACUGGUCUGAGAGGAUGAUCAGUCACACCGGAACUGAGACACGGUCCAGACUCCUACGGGAGGCAGCAGUGGGGAAUAUUGGACAAUGGGCGAAAGCCUGAUCCAGCCAUGCCGCGUGUGUGAAGAAGGUCUUCGGAUUGUAAAGCACUUUAAGUUGGGAGGAAGGGCAUUAACCUAAUACGUUAGUGUUUUGACGUUACCGACAGAAUAAGCACCGGCUAACUUCGUGCCAGCCGCCGCCGUAACAC
rnacentral:rRNA from 1 species